rnacentral:rRNA from 1 species
UACGGAGGGGGCGAGCGUUAUUCGGAAUCAUUGGGCGUAAAGGGCGCGUAGGCGGCUUUGUAAGUCUUGGGUGAAAGCCCUCGGCUCAACCGAGGAAUUGCCUUGGAUACUGCGAAGCUCGAGGCUGGAAGAGGACAGUGGAAUUCCCGGUGUAGCGGUGAAAUGCGUAGAUAUCAGGAGGAAUACCGAUGGCGAAGGCAGGUCUCUGGGCUAUAACUGACGCUCAUGCACGAAAGCGUGGGGAGCAAACAGG